rnacentral:rRNA from 1 species
UACGUAGGGGGCAAGCGUUGUCCGGAAUUAUUGGGCGUAAAGAGCGCGUAGGCGGCCAGCACAAGUCAGUUGUGAAAUCUCCGAGCUUAACUCGGAAAGGUCAACUGAUACUGUGCGGCUAGAGUGCGGAAGGGGCAACUGGAAUUCUUGGUGUAGCGGUGAAAUGCGUAGAUAUCAAGAGGAACACCUGCGGCGAAGGCGGGUUGCUGGGCCGACACUGACGCUGAUGCGCGAAAGCCAGGGGAGCGAACGGG